rnacentral:rRNA from 1 species
UACGUAGGGUGCAAGCGUUGUCCGGAAUUAUUGGGCGUAAAGAGCUCGUAGGCGGUCUGUCGCGUCGGCUGUGAAAUCUCCUGGCUCAACUGGGAGCUUGCAGGCGAAACUGCCGUGCUGGAGUGUGGGAGAGGUGCGUGGAAUUCCCGGUGUAGCGGUGAAAUGCGUAGAUAUCAGGAGGAACACCUGCGGUGGAGACGGCUUUCUGGACCAUUGUUGACGCUGAGACACGAAAGCGUGGGUAGCAAACAGG